rnacentral:rRNA from 1 species
GGAUUUUUUCGGGUGACGCUGGCGGCGUGCCUAAUACAUGCAAGUCGAGCGAACAGACGAGGAGCUUGCUCCUCUGACGUUAGCGGCGGACGGGUGAGUAACACGUGGAUAACCUACCUAUAAGACUGGGAUAACUUCGGGAAACCGGAGCUAAUACCGGAUAACAUGUUGAACCGCAUGGUUCAACAGUGAAAGACGGUUUUGCUGUCACUUAUAGAUGGAUCCGCGCCGCAUUAGCUAGUUGGUAAGGUAACGGCUUACCAAGGCAACGAUGCGUAGCCGACCUGAGAGGGUGAUCGGCCACACUGGAACUGAGACACGGUCCAGACUCCUACGGGAGGCAGCAGUAGGGAAUCUUCCGCAAUGGGCGAAAGCCUGACGGAGCAACGCCGCGUGAGUGAAGAAGGUCUUCGGAUCGUAAAACUCUGUUAUUAGGGAAGAACAAAUGUGUAAGUAACUAUGCACGUCUUGACGGUACCUAAUCAGAAAGCCACGGCUAACUACGUGCCAGCAGCCGCGGUAAUACGUAGGUGGCAAGCGUUAUCCGGAAUUAUUGGGCGUAAAGCGCGCGUAGGCGGUUUUUUAAGUCUGAUGUGAAAGCCCACGGCUCAACCGUGGAGGGUCAUUGGAAACUGGAAAACUUGAGUGCAGAAGAGGAAAGUGGAAUUCCAUGUGUAGCGGUGAAAUGCGCAGAGAUAUGGAGGAACACCAGUGGCGAAGGCGACUUUCUGGUCUGUAACUGACGCUGAUGUGCGAAAGCGUGGGGAUCAAACAGGAUUAGAUACCCUGGUAGUCCACGCCGUAAACGAUGAGUGCUAAGUGUUAGGGGGUUUCCGCCCCUUAGUGCUGCAGCUAACGCAUUAAGCACUCCGCCUGGGGAGUACGACCGCAAGGUUGAAACUCAAAGGAAUUGACGGGGACCCGCACAAGCGGUGGAGCAUGUGGUUUAAUUUCGAAGCAACGCGAAGAACCCUUACCAAAUCUUGACAUCCUCUGACCCCUCUAGAGAUAGAGUUUUCCCCUUCGGGGGACAGAGUGACAGGUGGUGCAUGGAUUGUUCGUACAGCUCCGUG